UCUACCCCGAGCUGCACCGACAUAACUCCUGAAUAUCAACAUCUCUCUCUGAUGAAGAUUAAGAUCUGAUCGGUAAAUCCCUCACAUGAUAAUCAGGGCAGAAAAACGCGAUUGACCAAUUUCUUUGAGGAAUGAAUGAGGGAUGACUCGUCCAGCUGAGCUCUGCUGAAGAGCUGCAGGAAUCUCUCAAUCACAGAGCGUUUCCUGGAAGAAGCUGGUAGUCUGCGUAAACAUAAUCUUCCCCGAAUCCCGCUCUGUUCCAGGACACGACCACCAGCAGCACCUGGUGCUCUGACAGGAAGAUUCCUCACUGAGAGCUCCUGUCACCACCGGCAACCCAACAGCUGUGAGCCACAGGAGAGGACGUCCACUGAUCGUCUCUGUCUUCUGCUCUGAGGACAGGCGGACACUGUCCUAAUGUCAGAUCCACCGAUGGAAGUACAAGAAGUGUCAUCUAUUGUCCCCACUUGUGUUUUAGCCUGAGCCCUUUUCUCCCUUUUCAGAUGAAGGAUUCGAGUCAUGGGGCGUCUGGAUCUGAAGUUAUGAGAGAAACA